rnacentral:rRNA from 1 species
UUGGAGGGCAAGUCUGGUGCCAGCAGCCGCGGUAAUUCCAGCUCCAAUAGCGUAUAUUAAAGUUGUUGCAGUUAAAAAGCUCGUAGUUGAAUUUCGGGAUCAAUAUUUCGGUCAUGCCGUUGGUAUGCACUGUUAUCAUUGAUUUCUCACCUUCUAAAGAACCGUAAUGCCAUUAAUUUGGUGUUACGGGGAAUUAGGACUGUUACCUUGAAAAAAUUAGAGUGUUUAAAGCAGGCGCACGCUUGAAUACAUUAGCAUGGAAUAAUGAAAUAGGACGUUCGAUCCUAUUUUGUUGGUUUCUAGGAUUGACGUAAUGAUUAAUAGGGAUAGUUGGGGGCAUUAGUAUUCAAUUGUCAGAGGUGAAAUUCUUGGAUUUAUUGAAGACUAACUACUGCGAUAGCAUUUGCCAAGGAUGUUUUCAUUAAUCAAGAACGAAAGUUAGGGGAUCGAAGACGAUCAGAUACCGUCGUAGUCUUAACCAUAAACUAUGCCGACUAGGGGAUCGGAUGAUGUUAAUUUUUAAUGACUCAUUCGGC